rnacentral:ncRNA from 1 species
UUAUUGGCGUGCGGAGCUCUCCAUACCUUAGCUCCGUUCAGCACAGAAAAGGAGGAAAUUAUUCCCUGAGGCUCAGGGUGCGGCAGUGUGGAGACCUGUCGUAAUGCGGGUGGCGAUGCCCCUGCGAGACCGCUGCAGCGGAGGCUCAGCGGCCGGAGUCAAGAAAAGUAUGGCA